GACGAACGCUGGCGGCGUGCUUAACACAUGCAAGUCGAACGGAAAGGCCCUGCUUUUGUGGGGUGCUCGAGUGGCGAACGGGUGAGUAACACGUGAGUAACCUGCCCUUGACUUUGGGAUAACUUCAGGAAACUGGGGCUAAUACCGGAUAGGAGCUCCUGCUGCAUGGUGGGGGUUGGAAAGUUUCGGCGGUUGGGGAUGGACUCGCGGCUUAUCAGCUUGUUGGUGGGGUAGUGGCUUACCAAGGCUUUGACGGGUAGCCGGCCUGAGAGGGUGACCGGGCACAAUGGGACUGAGGUACGGCCCAGACUCCUACGGGGGGCAACGGUGGGGAAUAUUGCACAAUGGGCGGGAGCCUGAUGCAGCAACGCCGCGUGCGGGAUGACGGCCUUCGGGUUGUAAACCGCUUUCGCCUGUGACGAAGCGUGAGUGACGGUAAUGGGUAAAGAAGCACCGGCUAACUACGUG
rnacentral:rRNA from 1 species